rnacentral:rRNA from 1 species
GACGAACGCUGGCGGCGUGCCUAAUACAUGCAAGUCGAACGAGAGCGACCGGUGCUUGCACUGGUCAAUCUAGUGGCGAACGGGUGAGUAACACGUGGGUAACCUGCCCAUCAGAGGGGGAUAACAUCCGGAAACGGAUGCUAAAGCCGCAUAGGUCUUCGAGCCGCAUGGCUUGAAGAGGAAAAGAGGCGCAAGCUUCUGCUGAUGGAUGGACCCGCGGUGCAUUAGCUAGUUGGUGAGGUAACGGCUCACCAAGGCCGUGAUGCAUAGCCGACCUGAGAGGGUGAUCGGCCACAUUGGGACUGAGACACGGCCCAAACUCCUACGGGAGGCAGCAGUAGGGAAUCUUCCGCAAUGGACGCAAGUCUGACGGAGCAACGCCGAGUGAGUGAAGAAGGUUUUCGGAUCGUAAAACUCUGUUGUUAGAGAAGAACAAGUGCUAGAGUAACUGUUAGCGCCUUGACGGUAUCUAACCAGAAAGCCACGGCUAACUACGUG